rnacentral:rRNA from 1 species
UACGUAGGGGGCAAGCGUUGUCCGGAAUCAUUGGGCGUAAAGAGCGUGUAGGCGGUCAGGUAGGUCCGUUGUGAAAACUCGAGGCUCAACCUCGAGACGCCGAUGGAAACCAUCUGACUAGAGUCCGGAAGAGGAGAGUGGAAUUCCUGGUGUAGCGGUGAAAUGCGCAGAUAUCAGGAAGAACACCCGUGGCUAAGGCGGCUCUCUAGUACGGUACUGACGCUGGGACGCGAAAGCGUGGGGAGCGAACAGG